AGCGAACGCUGGCGGCAGGCUUAACACAUGCAAGUCGAGCGGGCGUAGCAAUACGUCAGCGGCAGACGGGUGAGUAACGCGUGGGAACGUACCUUUUGGUUCGGAACAACACAGGGAAACUUGUGCUAAUACCGGAUAAGCCCUUACGGGGAAAGAUUUAUCGCCGAAAGAUCGGCCCGCGUCCGAUUAGCUAGUUGGUGAGGUAACGGCUCACCAAGGCGACGAUCAGUAGCUGGUCUGAGAGGAUGAUCAGCCACAUUGGGACUGAGACACGGCCCAAACUCCUACGGGAGGCAGCAGUGGGGAAUAUUGGACAAUGGGGGCAACCCUGAUCCAGCCAUGCCGCGUGAGUGAUGAAGGCCCUAGGGUUGUAAAGCUCUUUUGUGCGGGAAGAUAAUGACGGUACCGCAAGAAUAAGCCCCGGCUAACUUCGU
rnacentral:rRNA from 1 species